AUAUCAGUAAGCGGAGGAAAAGAAACCAACAGGGAUUGCCUCAGUAACGGCGAGUGAAGCGGCAACAGCUCAAAUUUGAAAUCUGGCCUCGGCCCGAGUUGUAAUCUGCAGAGGAUGCUUUGGGCGCAGGCGCCUUCCGAGUGCCCUGGAACGGGACGCCACAGAGGGUGAGAGCCCCGUAUGGUUGGCGCCGAGCCUGUGUAAAGCUCUCUCGACGAGUCGGGUAGCUUGGGAAUGCUGCUCUAAGCGGGAGGUAAACUUCUUCUAAAGCUAAAUACUGGCCAGAGACCGAUAGCGCACAAGUAGAGUGAUCGAAAGAUGAAAAGCACUUUGAAAAGAGGGUCAAAUAGUACGUGAAAUUGUUGAAAGGGAAGCGCUCAUGACCAGACUUGCGCCGGGUUGAUCAUCCAGUGGUUUCCACUGGUGCACUCUGCCCGGCUCAGGCCAGCGUCGGCUGCUGUGGGGGGACAAAAGCUCGGGGAAAGUAGCUCUCUUCGGGGAGUGUUAUAGCCCCUUGCAGAAUACCCCCGCGGCGGCCGAGGUCCGCGCCCUGCAAGGACGCUGGCGUAAUGGUCAUCAGCGACCCGUCUUGAAACACGGACCAAGGAGUCGAGGUUUUGCGCGAGUGUUCGGGUGCAAAGCCCCAGCGCGUAAUUAAAGUGAACGUAGGUGAGAGCUUCGGCGCAUCAUCGACCGAUCCUGAUGUAUUCGGAUGGAUUUGAGUAGGAGCGUAAAGCCUCGGACCCGAAAGAUGGUGAACUAUGCCUGUAUAGGGUGAAGCCAGAGGAAACUCUGGUGGAGGCUCGCAGCGGUUCUGACGUGCAAAUCGAUCGUCAAAUAUGGGCAUGGGGGCGAAAGACUAAUCG
rnacentral:rRNA from 1 species